GACGGAAGGUGCAAGCGUUGCUCGGAAUCACUGGGCGUAAAGGGUGCGUAGGCGGCUGUGUAAGUCUGGCGUGAAAGCCCCGGGCUCAGCCCGGGAAGUGCGCUCGAAACUGCGCGGCUCGAGUGCCGGAGGGGAGAGUGGAAUUCCUGGUGUAGCGGUGAAAUGCGUAGAUAUCAGGAGGAAUACCGGUGGCGAAGGCGGCUCCCUGGUCCGUUUCUGACGCUGAGACGCGAAAGCGCGGGGAGCGAACGGG
rnacentral:rRNA from 1 species